GGGCGUAUGGUCUAGUGGUACGACAUCUCAUUUGCAAAAAAUAUUCGUUGCUCUUAAACUUGUUACAAUCGAGUGGAAGAGGUUCGAAUGAUCCAAUGCUCUUCCAUGAGAAGGUCCCAGGUUCGAACCCUGGUACGUCCA